GGUCUUCCUCCUCCUCAUCCUUUCAAUUCCUAACCAGGGGCGGCCGUCUCUCUCAAUCGCACCCCCUUCCUUUUCAUGCGGCCAUUCCCGUCCUCGUCAACUGAAGGACUAUUCUCGAGUCACUCCGUCUCUCUCAUCUCCGUCAACGAGACCAUCAGAACACCAGAAGCAGCCGUCUCUUUCUCUCAUCUCCGUCGGCUGUAGCAGUUUCUGAAACAAUGAUAAAUUUGUGGCUUUAACGCGGAAUGAAGCAUCGUUUUUUCCUGUGGAUUGGAGAUUCGUCAUCUCUCCUGCAUCUGCAUGCUGUGGUGGAUCUGAUGAGAUCCAAAAGCUCUUUGGUUGAAGAAGAUUAGCAGCUUCCUUCAAUUUCUCCUCCUCCUUAAUAUUAUUCCAGACACACGCCAUGCGCACAUAUAUAUAUAGCUACCUCUUUGAAAUCUCAUUUCACAGGACGGGAGCAAUUUGAUUUUGACAAACAUCAUGAGUUCGUGUGUGGGGAAGAUUCUCAGUUUUCUUUUCAACGAAACAGUGAUGAGGCAUGGGGCUUAUGUGUUUCAAUACGAGGAUCUGGUCCACCGACUGGAACAAGAAAAUAGGAGGCUCGGUGAAAAAAAGGAGAGAAUCCAGCGACUGGUGGAUACAGCCACACGCAAUGGGAGAUUCAUUGAAACUGAGGUCUCCAGUUGGCUAGGGGAAGUAGAACAGAUGGAACGAGACAUCGCCAACUUCCUGCGUCAACAAGAAAACAGAGAACAGAUGGAACGAGACUUCGCCAAUUUCCUGCGUCAACAAGAAAACGGAGAACAGAUGGAACGAUACUUCGCCAACUUCCUGGGUCAACAAGAAAACGGAGAACAGAUCAUGGAACGAGACUUCGCCAACUUCCUCCGCGAACAAGAAAACGGAGAACAGAUGGAACGAGACUUCGCCAAUUUCCUGCGUCAACAAGAAAACGGAGAAUCUUUCAAGUGUUUUCCGGGCUGCAUGUGUCCCAACUUACUGUGGCGUCACAAGAGGGGUAAGGAUGCUGACGACAAAAUGUCGGAGGUCACUAAACUCAUAAGUAGGGGUGAGCUGCUACAGACGCCACCAGUGGCACGCGAUGCACCUUUCCAAUCGGAGCCGCUCUUUGAUUCUUCUCAGUAUUACACCACGUUCCCAUCAAGAGCUUCAGUUUUUGAGGAAAUCAUGGAGGCUUUGAAGGAUUCUGGGGUUGACAUGAUUGGGGUCCAUGGGCCUGGUGGUGCUGGGAAGACGACGAUGGUGAAAGAGGUUGCCAAAGAAGCUAGGAAAGUAGGAAUUUUUGAUAAGAUUGUGAUUGUAGUUGUGUCUAAAGAUCCAAACACCUCAAAGCUACAAGAAGAUAUUGAAUCCCAACUGGAACUCAAGUAUGGACGAACAAGUGAGUCAGGAAGAGCGGAUGAGUUACGAAAGGCAUUGUUAAACGGGAAGAAGAUAUUGGUAAUAUUGGAUGACCUUUGGCAAGGACUAGACUUGAAUGCAAUUGGAAUUCCUAUUUCGGGCCCUAGCCACAAAGAUUGCAAAAUUUUGCUAACCUCGCGUAGAAAAGAUGUCUUCAAAGUGAUGGGCGUUCAUUCAUAUUUUUCCGUUGGGUACUUGGAGGAGAACGAAGCAUGGGAGUUGUUUACAAAGGUGACAGGAGAUUUUGGAGUCGAUGAAUUGAUAGCAAGAGAGGUGAGCAAGAAAUGUGGAGGUCUGCCCAUUGCUAUCGUUGCAGUUGCAGCUGCAUUAAAGGACGAGGAAGAGUUUGAGUGGCGCAACGCACUUUUCCAAUUAAAGAAUUUCCCCCUAAAAUACAUUGAAGAAAUUGAUCCAGUGGGCUAUACCCCCUUGAAGUGGAGCUAUGAUUUUCUAAAAGACGAGGAUGCAAAGUCGUGUUUCUUGCUGUUGUGCUGUUUGUUCCCUGAAGAUGCUGAGAUUUAUAUUGAUGACUUGGUUAAAUAUAGCUUUGCCUUGGGGUUCCUUAGAAGGGUGGAUACGCUGAAUGAUGCAAGAAUUAAAGUACAAGCCAUGGUUAAUAAGCUGAAAAGGUCUUGCUUGUUACUCAAUGGAAUGGACGAGUAUUAUGUCAAAAUGCAUGACGUUAUUCGUGACCUUGCAAUUUCUAUCACAGAGGUGAAGCAAGCAGAACACAGCGGUGGCCAAGAUUGGCCAAGACAACAACAGUUCAUGGUAGAUCACGAAAUUCGAGGGUGGCCGAAGAAUGAUGCCUGGAAGCAGCACACAGCAAUCUCAUUAAGGAUCAAUAAUGACAACUUUCCUUCUCGUUCCGGCGUGCUUGAUUGUCCACUAGUGCAUACCCUUGUGUUGAAGCUUGGAAAAUUUUCACAUAUAAUAAUUCCGAAUGACUUCUUUCAAGGCAUGGAGGAGGCAAGAGUUUUAGAUUUGAAGAACAUAUCGUUGGAGUUUCCAUCAUCAGUUUUGAAGUUGAAUCAUCUUCGAAUGUUACGUCUAAGCAAUUGCAAAUUAUUGGGAGACUUGACUACAAUUCAAAAUUUAAAAAAUCACAUUGAGAUACUUAGUUUUGAGGGAUUUGAGAUAAAAGAGUUGCCACAAGAGAUUGGAGAAUUGAUUCAUUUGCGGUCUUUGAAUCUGGGAAGGCCCAAGCUGAUGAAAGUGAUUCCAAAGGAUGUGAUAUCCAAAUUGAUCCAUCUAGAAGAGUUGUAUGUCUUAGGCACCUUUAUUGGAUGGGAUACCAGCGUAGAUGGUAGGGGAAUGAGCAAUGCGAGUAUUGCUGAGUUGAAAUCAUUGACUCAACUAACAGUUUUACAUGUGAGUAUUUCAGCAGAAAGUUUCAAGAUUAUGGUGCAAGAAUGCCCCAACUUAUUUAAGAAAUUGAUUAAUUUUGCAAUAUUUAUAAACCCUCCCUCCGGGUGUUUUAUUGAUCGUAUUCAAACCUUGAAUGUUUUGGAAAUUCAUGAUAUUCAUCGUAUAGAUGAUGAAUUUCAUCUCUUGAUGGACAAAGUUAGUGUGUUGACGUUGAGGAGGAUUCCGCAUUUGGAAGGGCUAUUCUUACAUGGCAAGCCACAACUAAAGUUUAUAGCAAGUGGUGGGGGACCUUUUAGUAAAUUAACCUCUUUAGAAAUUUUUGGCUGUGACGGUAUGAAAUUUCUCUUUUCCUCCUCCAUCGCUGGAGCACUCCAUCUCCUUCAAAAACUAGAUGUAUCGUGCUGUAGGGAAAUGGAACAAAUAAUUGGAGUAGUAGAUGAUCAUCACGAAGAGAAAGUUGCAACUGAUGAAGCAAUUGUUUUCAGUCGAUUGGUGGGCUUGAGAUUGUGGAAACUUCCACAAUUUAAAAGCUUCUAUCCCAAAAUGGAGAAGGCAGAAAUAAAGAAAAACCUUUCAAAUUUUACCACAAUAGCAGAAUCUAUCUUUGAUGAAAAGGUUUCUUUUCCCGUCUUAACAUGGUUGAAGAUUGUUGAGUUAUCAGUGGAAUAUAUUUGGAACAAGCAAGCGAUUCAAUCUCCAGAAAGAUCAAACAAAGUAUCCUUUUCUCAAUUGGAGGAUAUUUCUGUUCACAAUUGUGAUACUUUGGUAAAUGUGUUCCCUUCAAAUAUGCUCCCACGAUUACAAAAUUUGAAGACAUUAACAGUUGAAAAUUGUCCUUCUUUGACAUUGUUAGUUGAAGACUUCAAUCCUAACGUCAAAAGUCCUACAAUUAAAUUUAAAUUCAAUGAUGUGUUCUCAAAGUUGAUAGAUCUUCGGUUAUAUAAUCUUCCCAAGUUGAUCAAAACAUGGCUUAGUGAAGAGGACUACUGCUCCUAUGACAAUUUUGUCAAUUUAUACCUAAAAAGGAUAUCAAUUAUAGACUGUGGCAGUUUGAGACAUGCAUUUUCAGCUUUUGUUGCUAGACAUCUUGUGCGCAUCCAAUAUUUAUGCAUAAGUGGUUGUCCAGGAAUGGAAGUGAUAGUGUCGGAGGAUAGGGGAGAAGGAAAGAUCGAUGAUGGUACAAUUAAGUUCAAUGAAUUAGAAGAAUUGUGGCUUUAUGGUUUGCCAAAUCUUAGAAGUUUUUAUGAAUCCAACUCUGAAGCACCACGUUUAUUUAAUUAUCAGGAUGCUUGCUCCAAUAUGAAAACUCUAUGUUUGACAGACCUUAGAAGCACAAGAGAGAUACAACUUUGGGAUAUGAAUAGCACACAAGAACAUUUACACAAUGUGAACUUAAUCGGAUGCCAAGUCUCGACCAAGGUUUUAUCUCAUCAUUUGAGACGAAGCUUUAGAAUAAUCAACAAUUUAUCCUUAAAGAAUUGUCAAGGGUUUAAAUAUGUUAUUGAUUUUGACGACACGAUAAGCGUUUGUGAGGAGCUAUUUGUUGAUGUGGAAAGAUUAACGCUCAAUGAUUUACCUGAGUUGAUAUCUCUCUGGAACAAGAAUUUUCAUGAAAUUGAGAGUUUUCGAAACUUAAAGUACAUAAAUAUCCGCAAGUGUCCUCAAAUGAAAAGUCUGCUUACACAUUCCAUGGCUACGACUCUUCAACACCUAAUGAAGCUAGUAGUGGAAUAUUGUGAAAUGAUGGAAGAGAUUAUUAUUAUUGAAGAGAAUAAUAUUAAUAUUGCAGAGGAAGAAAAGGUCCCUUGGCAGAUUGGAUUUUCAAAAUUAGAAUAUUUGAUUUUAAUUGGCCUACCAAACCUCAAAAACUUUUGCAAUGACGAGAGAGGUUCCUUUAGCUUUUUAUCAUUGCGUGGAGUUAGCGUGAAUAAUUGCCCAAAAAUGAAGACCUUUGUUUCUGGACAAAUUUGCUUGUUGCCGAGGAUGAUGCGAGCCGUGGUAGGAGAUGAAAAGGUUGAAAUCACAAAUCUUAAUGGAUAUUUUGAGACCAGGAACCACCCGGUGAAAAUCAUACAUUGGGGAGAUAGUAGCUUCAGCUUGGGUGAAUUAUUGGGGAAAGGUUACGAUGAUCCUCAGGAAAUCAGAGACCGCAUAUAUCCGAUUUAAUGAAGAAAAACCUAUAUAUAAGGUGAGCAAUUCAAGAUCGAUGACGAUGAUGAUAAAUUAAGUCCAUUGGGUACUAUUUGAUAGGACAUUGUAGGACCUUCCAUUGAAGAAAAUGAACUAAACAGGGGGCAGCAUACAUCAAAAGAUGAAAUUUCAUUAUCUAAUAUCUUAAAUCUAGAAAUAAAAUGGCCAACUGAUACAGAGGAAUCAGAGCAUAGUCUUGGAAGCAAUUUAUCCACACACAGCAAAAGUUC